CCUACAGGAGGCAGCAGUGGGGAAUAUUGGACAAUGGGGGGAACCCUGAUCCAGCCAUGCCGCGUGUGUGAAGAAGGCCCUCGGGUUGUAAAGCACUUUCAGUGAGGAAGAACGCCUGGUGGUUAAUACCCAUCAGGAAAGACAUCACUCACAGAAGAAGCACCGGCUAACUCCGUGCCAGCAGCCGCGGUAAUACGGAGGGUGCGAGCGUUAAUCGGAAUUACUGGGCGUAAAGCGCGCGUAGGUGGCUUGAUAAGCCGGUUGUGAAAGCCCCGGGCUCAACCUGGGAACGGCAUCCGGAACUGUCAAGCUAGUGUGCAGGAGAGGAAGGUAGAAUUCCCGGUGUAGCGGUGAAAUGCGUAGAGAUCGGGAGGAAUACCAGUGGCGAAGGCGGCCUUCUGGACUGACACUGACACUGAGGUGCGAAAGCGUGGGUAGCAAACAGGAUUAGAUACCCGAGUAGUC
rnacentral:rRNA from 1 species